UUCCAGACUCCUACGGGAGGCAGCAGUGGGGAAUAUUGCACAAUGGGGGAAACCCUGAUGCAGCGACGCCGCGUGAGUGAAGAAGUAUUUCGGUAUGUAAAGCUCUAUCAGCAGGGAAGAUAAUGACGGUACCUGAGUAAGAAGCCCCGGCUAACUACGUGCCAGCAGCCGCGGUAAUACGUAGGGGGCAAGCGUUAUCCGGAUUUACUGGGUGUAAAGGGAGCGUAGACGGCAUGGCAAGUCUGAAGUGAAAGCCCGGGGCUCAACCGCGGGACUGCUUUGGAAACUGUUAAGCUGGAGUGCAGGAGGGGUAAGCGGAAUUCCUAGUGUAGCGGUGAAAUGCGUAGAUAUUAGGAGGAACACCAGUGGCGAAGGCGGCUUACUGGACGACAACUGACGCUGAGGCUCGAAAGCGUGGGGAGCAAACAGGAUUAGAUACCCCUGUA
rnacentral:rRNA from 1 species